rnacentral:rRNA from 1 species
UCCAGACUCCUACGGGAGGCAGCAGUGGGGAAUAUUGGGCAAUGGGCGCAAGCCUGACCCAGCAACGCCGCGUGAAGGAAGAAGGCUUUCGGGUUUUAAACUUCUUUUAAUAUUGACGAAACAAAUGACGGUACCUCUUUAAUAAGCCACUUCUAACUACGUGCCAGCAGCCGCGGUAAUACUUAGGUGGCAAUCGUUAUCCGGAUUUAUUGGGUGUAAAGGGCGUGUAGGCGGGAAAGCAAGUCAGAUGUGAAAACUAUGGGCUCAACCCAUAGCCUGCAUUUGAAACUGUUUUUCUUGAGUGCUGGAGAGGCAAUCGGAAUUCCGUGUGCAGCGGUGAAAUGCGUAGAUAUACGGAGGAACACCAGUGGCGAAGGCGGAUUGCUGGACAGUAGCUGACGCUGAGGCGCGAAAGCGUGGGGAGCAAACAGGAUUAGAUACCCCAGUAG